UACGUAGGGGGCAAGCGUUGUCCGGAUUUAUUGGGCGUAAAGAGCGUGUAGGCGGCCAUACAGGUCCGUUGUGAAAACUGGAGGCUUAACCUCCAGACGUCGAUGGAAACCGUAUGGCUAGAGUCCGGAAGAGGAGAGUGGAAUUCCUGGUGUAGCGGUGGAAAUGCGCAGAUAUCAGGAAGAACACCGGUGGCGAAGGCGGCUCUCUGGGCUACCUGGACGCUGAGGAGCGAAGACGUGGGUAGCGAACAGG
rnacentral:rRNA from 1 species